AGAGUUUGAUCAUGGCUCAGAUUGAACGCUGGCGGCAGGCUUAACACAUGCAAGUCGAGCGGGGAUUGGGUGCUUGCACCUAAUCUUAGCGGCGGACGGGUGAGUAAUGCUUAGGAAUCUGCCAUUUAGUGGGGGACAACAUUCCGAAAGGGAUGCUAAUACCGCAUACGCCCUACGGGGGAAAGCAGGGGAUCUUCGGACCUUGCGCUAAAUGAUGAGCCUAAGUCGGAUUAGCUAGUUGGUGGGGUAAAGGCCUACCAAGGCGACGAUCUGUAGCGGGUCUGAGAGGAUGAUCCGCCACACUGGGACUGAGACACGGCCAGACUCCUACGGGAGGCAGCAGUGGGGAAUAUUGGACAAUGGGCGGAAGCCUGAUCCAGCCAUGCCGCGUGUGUGAAGAAGGCCUUUUGGUUGUAAAGCACUUUAAGCGAGGAGGAGGCUACCUGGAUUAAUACUCUAGGAUAGUGGACGUUACUCGCAGAAUAAGCACCGGCUAACUCUGUGCCAGCAGCCGCGGUAAUACAGAGGGUGCGAGCGUUAAUCGGAUUUACUGGGCGUAAAGCGUGCGUAGGCGGCUGAUUAAGUCGGAUGUGAAAUCCCUGAGCUUAACUUAGGAAUUGCAUUCGAUACUGGUCAGCUAGAGUAUGGGAGAGGAUGGUAGAAUUCCAGGUGUAGCGGUGAAAUGCGUAGAGAUCUGGAGGAAUACCGAUGGCGAAGGCAGCCAUCUGGCCUAAUACUGACGCUGAGGUACGAAAGCAUGGGGAGCAAACAGGAUUAGAUACCCUGGUAGUCCAUGCCGUAAACGAUGUCUACUAGCCGUUGGGGCCUUUGAGGCUUUAGUGGCGCAGCUAACGCGAUAAGUAGACCGCCUGGGGAGUACGGUCGCAAGACUAAAACUCAAAUGAAUUGACGGGGGCCCGCACAAGCGGUGGAGCAUGUGGUUUAAUUCGAUGCAACGCGAAGAACCUUACCUGGCCUUGACAUAGUAGAAACUUUCCAGAGAUGGAUUGGUGCCUUCGGGAAUCUACAUAUAGGUGCUGCAUGGCUGUCGUCAGCUCGUGUCGUGAGAUGUUGGGUUAAGUCCCGCAACGAGCGCAACCCUUUUCCUUACUUGCCAGCAUUUCGGAUGGGAACUUUAAGGAUACUGCCAGUGACAAACUGGAGGAAGGCGGGGACGACGUCAAGUCAUCAUGGCCCUUACGGCCAGGGCUACACACGUGCUACAAUGGUCGGUACAAAGGGUUGCUACCUAGCGAUAGGAUGCUAAUCUCAAAAAGCCGAUCGUAGUCCGGAUUGGAGUCUGCAACUCGACUCCAUGAGGUCGGAAUCGCUAGUAAUCGCGGAUCAGAAUGCCGCGGUGAAUACGUUCCCGGGCCUUGUACACACCGCCCGUCACACCAUGGGAGUUUGUUGCACCAGAAGUAGGUAGUCUAACCUUAGGGAGGACGCUUACCACGGUGUGGCAGAUGACUGGGGUGAAGUCGAAACAAGGUA
rnacentral:rRNA from 1 species